rnacentral:tRNA from 1 species
GUUUAUAUAAUUUAAGUAAAAUGUUAGACUGUGACUCUAAUUAUAAGAGUUAAAACCUCUCUAUAAACC